GAUGAACGCUGGCGGUAGGCCUAAUACAUGCAAGUCGAACGAAAGCACAGGAAGCUUGUUCCCUUACGGUUAGCGGCGGGCGGGCGGGUAACACGUGGAUAACCUUCUUCUAUUUCUGGGGUAAUUUCGGAAAACCGCAGCCACUACUACCUAAUACAUCGUACGGCUUGAUUCAAUGGUUAUUCAGGCUUUGCGCGAUUGUUUGAGCCGGUUUCGGGCCGCAUUAGCGAGUUGGUAAGGUAACGGCUUACCAAGGCAACGAUGCGUAGCUGACCUGAGAGGAUGAUCGGCCACACUGGAACUGAGACACGGUCCAGACUCCUACGGGAGGCAGCAGUAGGGAAUCUUGCGCAAUGGGCGAAAGCCUGACGGAGCAACGCCGCGUGAGUGAUGAAGGUCUUCGGAUCGUAAAGCUCUGUUAUUGGGGAAGAACAAAAGUGUAAGUAACUCUGGACGUCUUGACGGUACCUAAUCAGAAAGCCACGGCUAACUACGUG
rnacentral:rRNA from 1 species